UAACACAAAAAAUGGGUGUAUCUCAACAGGAGCACAUUUUAAUCCAAAUGGUUUGACACAUGGAGCUCCUGAGGAUGAAGUUCGCCAUGCGGGUGACCUGGGAAACAUAGUUGCUGACACCAAUGGUGUGGUUGAAGCCACAAUAGUGGACAAUCAGAUUGUUC